GUUGAAACACCGCUUCUCGUACGGUCACUAAAGUUAAGCAACGUCGAGCUUGGUCAGUACCUAGAUGGGCGACUUCUUGCGAAUACCAGGUGCUGUAA